rnacentral:rRNA from 1 species
UACGUAGGAUGCAAGCGUUGUCCGGAUUUAUUGGGUUUAAAGGGAGCGUAGGCGGCCUAUUAAGUUAGUGGUGAAAACGUUCGGCUUAACCGGAUACCCGCCAUUGAUACUGAUAGACUUGAGUGCGACAGAGGGUGUUGGAAUGUGUGGUGUAGCGGUGAAAUGCUUAGAUAUCACGCAGAACACCAAUUGCGAAGGCAGAUGCCUAUGUCGUAACUGACGCUGAGUCUCGAAAGCGUGGGGAGCAAACAGG